rnacentral:sRNA from 1 species
UGAUUAUAGGCCUUAACCAAAUCGAUGAC